rnacentral:rRNA from 1 species
UACGUAGGGUGCGAGCGUUGUCCGGAAUUAUUGGGCGUAAAGGGCUCGUAGGCGGUCUGUUGCGUCAGGAGUGAAAACUCGGGGCUUAACCCCGAGCCUGCUUCUGAUACGGGCAGACUAGAGGUAUGCAGGGGAGAACGGAAUUCCUGGUGUAGCGGUGAAAUGCGCAGAUAUCAGGAGGAACACCGGUGGCGAAGGCGGAUCUCUGGGCCUGUUCUGACGCUGAGGCGCGAAAGCUAGGGGAGCGAACAGG